rnacentral:rRNA from 1 species
CCUACGGGAGGCAGCAGUGAGGAAUAUUGGUCAAUGGUAGAGAUCCUGAACCAGCCAAGCCGCGUGAGGGAAGACGGUCCAAUGGGUCGUAAACCUCUUUUGUCGGGGAACAAAACCCGGGACGUGUCCCGGACUGCGUGUAUCCGAAGAAAAAGCAUCGGCUAACUCCGUGCCAGCAGCCGCGGUAAUACGGAGGAUGCGAGCGUUAUCCGGAUUUAUUGGGUUUAAAGGGUGCGUAGGCGGUCCGUUAAGUCAGCGGUAAAAUUGCGGGGCUCAACCCCGGCGAGCCGUUGAAACUGGCAGACUUGAGUUGGCGAGAAGUACGCGGAAUGCGCGGUGUAGCGGUGAAAUGCAUAGAUAUCGCGCAGAACUCCGAUUGCGAAGGCAGCAUACCGGCUCCAAACUGACGCUGAGGCACGAAAGCGUGGGGAUCGAACAGGAUUAGAUACCCCAGUAGUC